CCGGAUAAUCGCAUCCUUCGGGAUGAGGAAAGUCCGUGCAUCCAAGGACAGAUCGCCGGAGAAACUCCGGACGGCGUAAGCCGGUGGAAAGUGGCACAGAAAAUAUACUGCCGAUGGACAUUUAUGUCACAGGCGAGGGUGCAACGGUGAGUUAAGAGCUUCACCGGCGGUAUUGAGAAAUACCGGCCAGCUAAACCCCGAUCGGAUGCAAGAUUGAAUCAAGCGUUUGAGGUGUCCGCCGAGCUUGGAAAAAUCGCUAGAGAUUGGGAGUAAUUCCAAUACCAGACAGAUGAUUAUCGAGGUAUACAACCUUUACAGAACACGGCUUAUAGGCUGCUUUA
rnacentral:RNase_P_RNA from 1 species